AUUGAACGCUGGCGGCAGGCCUAACGCAUGCAAGUCGAGCGGAUGAAGGGAGCUUGCUCCUGGAUCCAGCGGCGGACGGGUGAGUAAUGCCUAGGAAUCUGCCUGGUAGUGGGGGAUAACGUCCGGAAACGGGCGCUAAUACCGCAUACGUCCUGAGGGAGAAAGUGGGGGAUCUUCGGACCUCACGCUAUCAGAUGAGCCUAGGUCGGAUUAGCUAGUUGGUGGGGUAAAGGCCUACCAAGGCGACGAUCCGUAACUGGUCUGAGAGGAUGAUCAGUCACACUGGAACUGAGACACGGUCCAGACUCCUACGGGAGGCAGCAGUGGGGAAUAUUGGACAAUGGGCGAAAGCCUGAUCCAGCCAUGCCGCGUGUGUGAAGAAGGUCUUCGGAUUGUAAAGCACUUUAAGUUGGGAGGAAGGGCAGUAAGUUAAUACCUUGCUGUUUUGACGUUACCAACAGAAUAAGCACCGGCUAACUUCGUG
rnacentral:rRNA from 1 species